rnacentral:rRNA from 1 species
AAAGGAAUUGACGGGGGCCCGCACAAGCGGUGGAGCAUGUGGUUUAAUUCGAAGCUACGCGAAGAACCUUACCAGGCCUUGACAUCACCCGGAAGGUCGUGGAAACACGGCCGCCCUUCGGGGCCGGGUGACAGGUGGUGCAUGGUCGUCGUCAGCUCGUGUCGUGAGAUGUUGGGUUAAGUCCCGCAACGAGCGCAACCCUCGCCCUUAGUUGCCAGCACCUCGGGUGGGCACUCUAAGGGGACUGCCGGUGACAAACCGGAGGAAGGUGGGGACGACGUCAGAUCAUCAUGCCCCUUAUGGCCUGGGCUACACACGUGCUACAAUGGCCGGUACAAACGGAUGCGAAGGGGCGACCCGGAGCGAAUCCGAAAAAGCCGGUCUCAGUUCGGAUCGCAGGCUGCAACUCGCCUGCGUGAAGGCGGAAUCGCUAGUAAUCGCGGGUCAGCAUACCGCGGUGAAUACGUUCCCGGGCCUUGUACACACCGCCCGU